rnacentral:rRNA from 1 species
AAUAAACGUUGGCGGCGUGCUUAACACAUGCAAGUCGAGCGAGAAAAGUUUUCGGACUUAGUACAGCGGCAAACGGGUGAGUAACACGUGGGAAUCUACCUUUUAGUGAAGAAUACCCUCGAGAAAUCGAGGUUAAUGCUGCAUACGUCUCGCAAAGAGAGAAAGAUGGCCUCUUUGCUGUCGCUGAAGGAUGAGCCUGCGUACUAUUAGCUAGUUGGUGGGUAAAGGCCUACCAAGGCUAUGAUGGUUAGCCGGCCUGAGAGGGUGUACGGCCACACUGGAACUUAGACACGGUCCAGACUCCUACGGGAGCAGCAGUGAGGAAUAUUGCGCAAUGGGCGAAAGCCUGACGCAGCGACGCCGCGUGGAGGAUGAAGGUCUUAGGAUUGUAAACUUCUGUUAAAGCGGGAAGAAAGACAUGGUUUAAUAGAACCGUGGAUGACGGUACCGCUAGAGAAAGCACCGGCUAAACUUCGUGCCAGCAGCCGCGGU